ensembl:snRNA U6 U6 spliceosomal RNA
UUGCUUUAGCAGUACCUAUAGAAAAAUCAGAUUAAUAUAGGAAAGAUUGGCAUCCUUCUGCCCAAGAAUGACAAAUACAUUAUUGAAGUGGUCCAUUUUUUU